GAUGAACGCUGGCGGCGUGCCUAACACAUUCAAGUCGAACGGAGUUAUUUCGAUUGAUCCUUCGGGUGAUUUUGUUUUAACUUAGUGGCGAACGGGUGAGUAACGCGUGAGGAACCUGCCUUUCAGUGGGGGACAACAGUUGGAAACGACUGCUAAUACCGCAUAAUGUAUCGAUAGGGCAUCCUGUUGAUACCAAAGAUUUAUUGCUGAAAGAUGGUCUCGCGUCUGAUUAGCUAGUUGGUGAGGUAACGGCUCACCAAGGCGACGAUCAGUAGCCGGUCUGAGAGGAUGAACGGCCACAUUGGGACUGAGAUACGGCCCAGACUCCUACGGGAGGCAGCAGUGGGGAAUAUUGGGCAAUGGGGGAAACCCUGACCCAGCAACGCCGCGUGAAGGAAGAAGGCCUUCGGGUUGUAAACUUCUUUUACCAGGGACGAAGAACGUGACGGUACCUGGAGAAAAAGCAACGGCUAACUACGUG
rnacentral:rRNA from 1 species